rnacentral:rRNA from 1 species
UGGGGAAUAUUGCACAAUGGGCGCAAGCCUGAUGCAGCCAUGCCGCGUGUAUGAAGAAGGCCUUCGGGUUGUAAAGUACUUUCAGCGGGGAGGAAGGCGAUAAGGUUAAUAACCUUGUCGAUUGACGUUACCCGCAGAAGAAGCACCGGCUAACUCCGUGCCAGCAGCCGCGGUAAUACGUAGGGUGCAAGCGUUAAUCGGAAUUACUGGGCGUAAAGCGCACGCAGGCGGUCUGUCAAGUCGGAUGUGAAAUCCCCGGGCUCAACCUGGGAACUGCAUUCGAAACUGGCAGGCUAGAGUCUUGUAGAGGGGGGUAGAAUUCCAGGUGUAGCGGUGAAAUGCGUAGAGAUCUGGAGGAAUACCGGUGGCGAAGGCGGCCCCCUGGACAAAGACUGACGCUCAGGUGCGAAAGCGUGGGGAGCAAACA